rnacentral:lncRNA from 1 species
CAACUUGUUUAUUGCUAGUCCCUAGCAAUUUAAUGCAAAGUAAAGCAAAUGAGUGAUUGGUCCAUGUUACAAGUGAAAUUGUUAAGUUCUAAUUCUACAGUAGUUCAUUCUCUUUUCAAACUCAACACCACUAGAAAUUAACAAUGUUAUGAUCAUCAAGAUAUCAAAAACACUUGCUAAAUGUGUAUGUGUGUGUCAAGCCAUAGCCAUCUUA